CAGUAGCCACGGGAAUACAGAGGGUGCGAGCGUUAAUCGGAUUUACUGGGCGUAAAGCGUGCGUAGGCGGCUAAUUGAGUCGGAUGUGAAAUCCCCGAGCUUAACUUGGGAAUUGCAUUCGAUACUGGUUAGCUAGAGUGUGGGAGAGGAUGGUAGAAUUCCAGGUGUAGCGGUGAAAUGCGUAGAGAUCUGGAGGAAUACCGAUGGCGAAGGCAGCCAUCUGGCCUAACACUGACGCUGAGGUACGAAAGCAUGGGGAGCAAACAGGAUUAGAUACCCGGGUAGUCCCUGUCUCUUAUAC
rnacentral:rRNA from 1 species